CUUAAGGUACGGAGCCGAAGGGAAACCGAGUCUGAAUAGGGCGACUAGUUGCAUGCCGUAGACCCGAAACCGGGUGACCUAUCCAUGGCCAGGUUGAAGCGAGGGUAAAACCUCGUGGAGGACCGAACCACGUUGCUGUUGAAAAAGCAUGGGAUGAGCUGUGGAUAGCGGAGAAAUUCCAAUCGAACCCGGAGAUAGCUGGUUCUCUCCGAAAUAGCUUUAGGGCUAGCGUCGAGUAUGAGUAGUGGAGGUAGAGCACUGAAUGGGCUAGGGGGCAUAGCGCUUACCGAACCUUAUCAAACUCCGAAUGCCACAUACUUUGAGCUCGGCAGUCAGACUACGAAUGAUAAGAUCCGUGGUCAAAAGGGAAACAGCCCAGAUCGUCAGCUAAGGUCCCAAAGUGUAAGUUAAGUGGGAAAGGAUGUGAGAUUUCUAAGACAACUAGGAUGUUGGCUUAGAAGCAGCCAUUCAUUAAAAGAGUGCGUAAUAGCUCACUAGUCGAGAGAUCUUGCGCCGAAAAUGUAACGGGGCUAAACUUACC
rnacentral:rRNA from 1 species